ACCUUCCGUACACUCAGUGAUAGCCUUUCGAAAGAAAGAUUAAUACCUGAUGGUAUGAUGAGAUUGCAUGAUAGCAUCAUUAAAGAUUUAUCGGUGUACGAUGGGGAUGCGUUCCAUUAGGUAGUAGGCGGGGUAACGGCCCACCUAGCCAACGAUGGAUAGGGGUUCUGAGAGGAAGGUCCCCCACAUUGGAACUGAGACACGGUCCAAACUCCUACGGGAGGCAGCAGUGAGGAAUAUUGGUCAAUGGACGAGAGUCUGAACCAGCCAAGUAGCGUGAAGGAUGAAGGUCCUACGGAUUGUAAACUUCUUUUAUAAGGGAAUAAACCCUCCCACGUGUGGGAGCUUGUAUGUACCUUAUGAAUAAGCAUCGGCUAACUCCGUGCCAGCAGCCGCGGUAAUACGGAGGAUGCGAGCGUUAUCCGGAUUUAUUGGGUUUAAAGGGAGCGCAGACGGGUCGUUAAGUCAGCUGUGAAAGUUUGGGGCUCAACCUUAAAAUUGCAGUUGAUACUGGCGUCCUUGAGUGCGGUUGAGGUGUGCGGAAUUCGUGGUGUAGCGGUGAAAUGCUUAGAUAUCACGAAGAACUCCGAUUGCGAAGGCAGCACACUAAUCCGUAACUGACGU
rnacentral:rRNA from 1 species